rnacentral:rRNA from 1 species
AGUGAACGCUGGCGGUAGGCCUAACACAUGCAAGUCGAACGGCAGCACAGUAAGAGCUUGCUCUUACGGGUGGCGAGUGGCGGACGGGUGAGGAAUACAUCGGAAUCUACUUUUUCGUGGGGGAUAACGUAGGGAAACUUACGCUAAUACCGCAUACGACCUACGGGUGAAAGCAGGGGAUCUUCGGACCUUGCGCGAUUGAAUGAGCCGAUGUCGGAUUAGCUAGUUGGCGGGGUAAAGGCCCACCAAGGCGACGAUCCGUAGCUGGUCUGAGAGGAUGAUCCGCCACACUGGAACUGAGACACGGGCCAGACUCCUACGGGAGGCAGCAGUGGGGAAUAUUGGACAAUGGGCGCAAGCCUGAUCCAGCCAUACCGCGUGGGUGAAGAAGGCCUUCGGGUUGUAAAGCCCUUUUGUUGGGAAAGAAAAGCAGCAGGUUAAUACCCCGCUGUUCUGACGGUACCCAAAGAAUAAGCACCGGCUAACUUCGU